UACGUAGGGUGCGAGCGUUAAUCGGAAUUACUGGGCGUAAAGCGUGCGCAGGCUGUCUGUUAAGACCGAUGUGAAAUCCCCGGGCUUAACCUGGGAACUGCAUUGGUGACUGGCAGGCUUUGAGUAUGGCAGAGGGGGGUAGAAUUCCACGUGUAGCAGUGAAAUGCGUAGAGAUGUGGAGGAAUACCGAUGGCGAAGGCAGCCCCCUGGGCCAAUACUGACGCUCAUGCACGAAAGCGUGGGGAGCAAACAGG
rnacentral:rRNA from 1 species